rnacentral:rRNA from 1 species
AGUGAACGCUGGCGGUAGGCCUAACACAUGCAAGUCGAACGGCAGCACAGUAAGAGCUUGCUCUUACGGGUGGCGAGUGGCGGACGGGUGAGGAAUACAUCGGAAUCUACUUUUUCGUGGGGGAUAACGUAGGGAAACUUACGCUAAUACCGCAUACGACCUACGGGUGAAAGCAGGGGAUCUUCGGACCUUGCGCGAUUGAAUGAGCCGAUGUCGGAUUAGCUAGUUGGCGGGGUAAAGGCCCACCAAGGCGACGAUCCGUAGCUGGUCUGAGAGGAUGAUCAGCCACACUGGAACUGAGACACGGUCCAGACUCCUACGGGAGGCAGCAGUGGGGAAUAUUGGACAAUGGGCGCAAGCCUGAUCCAGCCAUACCGCGUGGGUGAAGAAGGCCUUCGGGUUGUAAAGCCCUUUUGUUGGGAAAGAAAAGGAGCAGGUUAAUACCCCGCUGUUCUGACGGUACCCAAAGAAUAAGCACCGGCUAACUUCGU